UACGGAGGGGGCUAGCGUUGUUCGGAAUUACUGGGCGUAAAGCGCGCGUAGGCGGACCUGCAAGUCGGGGGUGAAAGCCCGAGGCUCAGCCUCGGAACUGCCUUCGAUACUGCGGGUCUCGAGUCCGGGAGAGGUGAGUGGAAUUCCUAGUGUAGAGGUGAAAUUCGUAGAUAUUAGGAAGAACACCAGUGGCGAAGGCGGCUCACUGGCCCGGUACUGACGCUGAGGCGCGAAAGCGUGGGGAGCAAACAGG
rnacentral:rRNA from 1 species